AUACUUUGAAAUUGUUUCAGCCUGAAGACAGCUUUCUGGGUUGCUCCCUGAAAAAUCAUACCUAAGAAAAAUAAAAUCUUCUCAUUGAUCCUGCUUUCCUUUUACUUUCUAAUGUCCCAAUAUGUUGAAGCAGAAAUCAGAAUAGAUAGUAUUGACAAGAAAUGUAUCCUUUAAAAGUCAAAUUUGUCCUUUAAAUUGGCUCUUCUCAUAAAGCAGCUUGGCCCUGAAAGCCUACAAGAAAAACUUGGAAUGCUUUAGGAAAUCAUGUUUAUAAUUAAAGCACUGGCAUUUUUCUUCUCAUUACAGAAUAAAGGCUGAAUACAAUUUUUGAAACUUUACCUUUUUUUAAUUUCAAUAAGCUGCUUACGAUCCUCUUGCAUUCAUUGACAGGAUUUUUGGCCCAUUCUGCUAUUCUAGUCCACAACCAUUUAACUGCUAAAUGUUAGCAGAUUACAAGUGACUAACAGUGGAAUAUUCGGAAUUCUAUACACCAUUAUUUUAAUUCCUACCACAGCUAGAAUUCACACAAGAUAGAAGUUCAAAAACAAGUUUGGGCACUAUAUUUUGCCCAUCUUCUUGUAGAUAUAGUUAGAACACUGAUGUGUCAUCACCUUAUUCCUCUCAGCAUACCUGGCACGUGUCUGAGAGAAUGAGUGAAUUAAAUGAACGAAUAAAUAUGCAAGGUACCCAAUGUCUAUUUGACUAUUUAGACUUGUGGAAGAAGUGGCAGCUUUUUAGUGAUUACUAGCGUGGGUUCUAUAUUAUAAAUGUUCUUAAAUAAAAAUACAAAAUGAACACAAUAAGACACUAAGUAUAUGUCAUAAAUCUGAAAUAAAAUUGCUAAGCACUCCAUUAUCAUAAAAUUCUUUUUAGAAGUCUUCCAAGAGAGGGAAAUUGGGGAAGUAAAACCAAACUUACAAGAAGGCCAGAAG
rnacentral:lncRNA from 1 species